rnacentral:rRNA from 1 species
CCUACGGGCGGCAGCAGUGGGGAAUAUUGGGCAAUGGGCGCAAGCCUGACCCAGCAACGCCGCGUGCAGGAAGAAGGCUCUCGGGGUGUAAACUUCUUUUAAGAGGGAAGAGCAGACGACGGUACCUCUUUAAUAAGCCACGGCUUACUACGUGCCAGCAGCCGCGGUCAUACGUAGGUUGCAAGCGUUGUCCGGAUUUACUGGGUGUAAAGGGUGUGCAGCCGGGAAGACAAGUCAGAUGUGAAAUCCCGCGGCUCAACCGCGGAAUUGCAUUUGAAACUGUUUUGCUAGAGUACCGGAGAGGUCAUCGGAAUUCCUGGUGUAGCGGUGAAAUGCGUAGAGAUAAGGAAGAACACCGAUUGCGAAGGCAGAUGACUAGACUGCAACUGACGGUGAGGCGCGAAAGCGUGGGGAGCAAACAGGAUUAGAUACCCCAGUAGUC